GACAGAGGGUGCAAACGUUGCUCGGAAUUACUGGGCGUAAAGCGCGUGUAGGCGGGCCCUCAAGUCGGACGUGAAAGCCCCGAGCUCAACUCGGGAACUGCAUCCGAAACUGAGGGCCUGGAGUAGUGGAGAGGGAAGCAGAAUUCCUGGUGUAGAGGUGAAAUUCGUAGAUAUCAGGAGGAACACCGGUGGCGAAGGCGGGUCUCUGGGCCGAUACUGACGCUGAGGAGCGAAAGCCAGGGGAGCAAACGGG
rnacentral:rRNA from 1 species